GACGAACGCUGGCGGCGUGCCUAAUACAUGCAAGUUGAGCGAUGAAGAUUGGUGCUUGCGCCAAUUUGAAGAGCAGCGAACGGGUGAGUAACGCGUGGGGAAUCUGCCUUUGAGCGGGGGACAACAUUUGGAAACGAAUGCUAAUACCGCAUAACAACUUUAAACAUAAGUUUUAAGUUUGAAAGAUGCAAUUGCAUCACUCAAAGAUGAUCCCGCGUUGUAUUAGCUAGUUGGUGAGGUAAAGGCUCACCAAGGCGAUGAUACAUAGCCGACCUGAGAGGGUGAUCGGCCACAUUGGGACUGAGACAAGGCCCAAACUCCUACGGGAGGCAGCAGUAGGGAAUCUUCGGCAAUGGACGAAAGUCUGACCGAGCAACGCCGCGUGAGUGAAGAAGGUUCUCGGAUCGUAAAACUCUGUUGGUAGAGAAGAACGUUGGUGAGAGUGGAAAGCUCAUCAAGUGACGGUAACUACCCAGAAAGGGACGGCUAACUACGUG
rnacentral:rRNA from 1 species